rnacentral:rRNA from 1 species
UGACGGUAGCUAAGGAGCAAGCCACGGCUAACUACGUGCCAGCAGCCGCGGUAAUACGUAGGUGGCAAGCGUUGUCCGGAAUUACUGGGUGUAAAGGGAGCGUAGGCGGGGAGUCAAGUCAGCUGUGAAAACUACGGGCUUAACCUGUAGACUGCAGUUGAAACUGAUUCUCUUGAGUGAAGUAGAGGUUGGCGGAAUUCCGAGUGUAGCGGUGAAAUGCGUAGAUAUUCGGAGGAACACCGGUGGCGAAGGCGGCCAACUGGGCUUUAACUGACGCUGAGGCUCGAAAGUGUGGGGAGCAAACAGGAUUAGAUACCCUG